AUGCACCCGCAAUCCCCGCUCUUUCCGGCUCCACUCCUUCGUCCUCCUCGGAACCGCCCCUCCCGCUCCCACUCCCUCUCGCCUCGAUCUCCUCCCCACCCCACUCCACCAGGCGCACAAGUCACGCCAAUAAAAACCUCUCUUCAUGCGCCCACUUCCUGCUUGACCAGAGAUCACUCGUACACACGCGCGUGCUCUGCUCUGCUCCGCCGUACGUCCAUCGAUCCAUCGACCGGUCCGGCCACGUCAAUGGCGGACGCGGCCGGGAAGGCGCAGGCGGCCCGGGACGUGUGCGCGGCGUCGGCGGCCUUCGCGUCCUGCCCGCACCGCCGCCGCUCCCCGCGCCGCGCGCACUUCGUCGACUGGUACCUCGUCCUCGCCAUUGGCGAGGCCGCGUCGGAGGACGCCAUCAAGCGGCGCUACCGGCACCUCGCUCUGCAGCUGCACCCGGACAAGAACAGGCAUCCCAAGGCGGAGGUCGCCUUCAAGCUUGUCUCCGAGGCGCACGCGUGCCUGACGGACAAGGCGCGCCGGCGGGCCUUCGACGCCGAGCGGGCCACGGCCUUCUGCGCCGCGUGCCACGACCGUGCGAGGGCCGCCACCACGCCCUGCGCCCCCACCCGGCGCCGCGCCAGCGACAGGAGGACGCCGGCGUCGUCCGAGGCAGCGUCCGCACAGCAGCAGCACAACAAGGCCCGUGGCUCCGUCGCAAAGCAGCAGGGCGGCGGCAGGAGGAGGCCGCCCUCACCGACGACGCAGGCGCUGCGGGAGGUGCAGAACCGGCUGCGGGACGAGUGCAGGGUCAUCGACGGCUGCCUGCGAGCCAACGCUGCCGGCGCGCGCAGGCGCCAGUCCUUCCCGCUCUUCGACCCGUCCGACCGGCAGCGCUUCCCGGACUACCCGCACGCCCGGCCCCCGCCGUCGUUCGCCGAGUGCCGGCCGUUCGAGGAGGAGGAGGAGCUCGGCGCGGGCCACGGCCACCAGAGCUGGUGCACAAACGGCAGCUGCGAGUCGCCGGUGUACCAGGUCAGGACCGCGCCGGAGCGCGCCGCGAGGACGAACCGCCCUUGGUGA
rnacentral:rRNA from 1 species